rnacentral:rRNA from 1 species
CAAUAGCGUAUAUUAAAGUUGUUGCAGUUAAAAAGCUCGUAGUUGGAUUUCUGGCCGAGUGUCCCCAGGCCAGCAUGACGUUUGGUCCUGGGCGCUCUGCCAUCCUUCUGUCAACCUUCGCCUCGUUCAUUCGUGGCUUUGGGGCUCAGAUAUUUUACCUUGAGAAAAUUAGAGUGUUUCAGGCAGGCUUUCGCCGGAAUACAUUAGCAUGGAAUAAUGGAAAAGGACUUCAACCUCUUCUGUUGGUCUGAGAGGCUGUAGUAAUGAUUAAUAGGGAUAGUUGGGGGCAUUAGUAUUUAAUUGUCAGAGGUGGAAUUCUCGGAUUUGUUAAAGACUAACUUAUGCGAAAGCAUUUGCCAAAGAUGUUUUCAUUAAUCAAGAACGAAAGUUAGGGGAUCAAAGAUGAUUAGAUACCAU